GGUUAAGCGAAUAAGCGUACACGGUGGAUGCCUAGGCAAUCAGAGGCGAUGAAGGACGUGCUAAUCUGCGAAAAGCGUCGGUAAGGUGAUAUGAACCGUUAUACCCGACGAUAUCCGAAUGGGGAAACCCAGUAUCCAAUGGAUACUAUCAUUAACUGAAUCCAUAGGUUAAUGAGGCGAACCGGGAGAACUGAAACAUCUCAGUACCCCGAGGAAAAGAAAUCAACCGAGAUUCCCCUAGUAGCGGCGAGCGAACGGGGAGCAGCCCAGAGUCUUAAUCAAUAGCAGUGUCAGGAGAACGGUCUGGAAAGUCCGGCAGUAAAGGGUGAUAGCCCCGUAUCUGAAGAUGCUGUUAUUGUGAACUCGACGAGUAGGGCGGGACACGUGUUAUCCUGUCUGAAUAUGGGGGGACCAUCCUCCAAGGCUAAAUACUCCUGAUUGACCGAUAGUGAACCAGUACCGUGAGGGAAAGGCGAAAAGAACCCCGGCGAGGGGAGUGAAAAAGAACCUGAAACCGUGUACGUACAAGCAGUAGGAGCCNNACUGCGUACCUUUUGUAUAAUGGGUCAGCGACUUAUAUUCUGUAGCGAGGUUAACCGUAUAGGGGAGCCGUAGGGAAACCGAGUCUUAACUGGGCGAAUGAGUUGCAGGGUAUAGACCCGAAACCCGGUGAUCUAUCCAUGGGCAGGUUGAAGGUUGGGUAACACUAACUGGAGGACCGAACCGACUAAUGUUGAAAAAUUAGCGGAUGACUUGUGGAUGGGGGUGAAAGGCCAAUCAAACCGGGAGAUAGCUGGUUCUCCCCGAAAGCUAUUUAGGUAGCGCCUCGUGAACUCAUCUUCGGGGGUAGAGCACUGUUUCGACUAGGGGGUCAUCCCGACUUACCAACUCGAUGCAAACUGCGAAUACCGAAGAAUGUUAUCACGGGAGACACACGGCGGGUGCUAACGUCCGUCGUGAAGAGGGAAACAACCCAGACCGCCAGCUAAGGUCCCAAAGUCAUGGUUAAGUGGGAAACGAAGUGGGAAGGCUCAGACAGCCAGGAUGUUGGCUUAGAAGCAGCCAUCAUUUAAAGAAAGCGUAAUAGCUCACUGGUCGAGUCGGCCCGCGCGGAAGAUGUAACGGGGCUAAACCAUGCACCGAAGCUGCGGCAGCGANNGUUGGGUAGGGGAGCGUUCUGUAAGCCUGCGAAGGUGUACUGUGAGGUAUGCUGGAGGUAUCAGAAGUGCGAAUGCUGACAUAAGUAACGAUAAUGCGGGUGAAAAACCCGCACGCCGGAAGACCAAGGGUUCCUGUCCAACGUUAAUCGGGGCAGGGUGAGUCGACCCCUAAGGCGAGGCUGAAAAGCGUAGUCGAUGGGAAACGGGUUAAUAUUCCCGUACUGGUGGUAACUGCGAUGGGGGAACGGAGAAGGCUAGGUUGUCCGGGCGACGGUCGUCCCGGUUCAAGCAGGUAGGCAGAGUGAUUAGGCAAAUCCGGUCACUUAAUGCUGAGAUGUGAUGACGAACCACUAAGGUGGUGAAGCAAUUGAUGCCCCGCUUCCAGGAAAAGCCUCUAAGCUUCAGGUUACCAACAAUCGUACCCCAAACCGACACAGGUGGUCAGGUAGAGAAUACUCAGGCGCUUGAGAGAACUCGGGUGAAGGAACUAGGCAAAAUGGUGCCGUAACUUCGGGAGAAGGCACGCUGGCGGUAGGUAAAGUCCCUCGCGGACGGCGCUGAAGCCAGUCGAAGAUACCAGCUGGCUGCAACUGUUUAUUAAAAACACAGCACUGUGCAAACACGAAAGUGGACGUAUACGGUGUGACGCCUGCCCGGUGCUGGAAGGUUAAUUGAUGGGGUCAGCCGUAAGGCGAAGCUCCUGAUCGAAGCCCCAGUAAACGGCGGCCGUAACUAUAACGGUCCUAAGGUAGCGAAAUUCCUUGUCGGGUAAGUUCCGACCUGCACGAAUGGCGUAAUGAUGGCCAGGCUGUCUCCACCCGAGACUCAGUGAAAUUGAACUCGCUGUGAAGAUGCAGUGUACCCGCGGCAAGACGGAAAGACCCCGUGAACCUUUACUAUAGCUUGACACUGAACAUUGAGCCUUGAUGUGUAGGAUAGGUGGGAGGCUUUGAAGUGUGGACGCCAGUCUGCAUGGAGCCAACCUUGAAAUACCACCCUUUAACGUUUGAUGUUCUAACCUAGGCCCAUAAACUGGGUCGGGGACCGUGUCUGGUGGGUAGUUUGACUGGGGCGGUCUCCUCCUAAAGAGUAACGGAGGAGCACGAAGGUUGGCUAAGCAUGGUCGGACAUCAUGCGGUUAGUGCAAAGGCAUAAGCCAGCUUGACUGCGAGAGUGACGGCUCGAGCAGGUACGAAAGUAGGUCUUAGUGAUCCGGUGGUUCUGAAUGGAAGGGCCAUCGCUCAACGGAUAAAAGGUACUCCGGGGAUAACAGGCUGAUACCGCCCAAGAGUUCAUAUCGACGGCGGUGUUUGGCACCUCGAUGUCGGCUCAUCACAUCCUGGGGCUGAAGUAGGUCCCAAGGGUAUGGCUGUUCGCCAUUUAAAGUGGUACGCGAGCUGGGUUUAGAACGUCGUGAGACAGUUCGGUCCCUAUCUGCCGUGGGCGUUGGAAGAUUGAGAGGGGUUGCUCCUAGUACGAGAGGACCGGAGUGAACGCACCACUGGUGUUCGGGUUGUCAUGCCAAUGGCAUUGCCCGGUAGCUAAGUGCGGAAGAGAUAACCGCUGAAAGCAUCUAAGCGGGAAACUUGCCUCGAGAUGAGUCUUCCCUGUC
rnacentral:rRNA from 1 species